CCUGAUCCUUGGAUUUCUAACUGCCUCACAGAUUUAAUGUAGUUUACAUUGCUUAAUACGCUUGUGAUUGCUCUACAUUGAACUCUUCCCAAAGCAAUUAUUUCCUCCUUAAGGUCUCCUGUCCUUUAUGGCACUAUUACAGUCUAUAAGAGCUGCCAAUAUAUGACUCCUACAGCACUCAUACCUGCAUCAUGGCACUUCUUCUGAGAAGCAACUUGAUGUUCCUCUUAAGGUUCAGCGUGAGAAUGCUACUGGAUCAAACAUAAAUGCACCUGCCCAGGGGAAUGGCUCUUCCAUACGAAUCCAACCCAGCUUAUUAGCUGCGUUGCAGCUGCAUUUAUAAAUCAGGUGCCUGAUGCUUCACCAAGA